UUGAGUAAGCAGCUUGAUUUGGAGGUGGAGGCUGAGGAUGUCACAGGGCUGCUGGCAUCUCAUGGAGAGGAGCUAUCUACCAAGGACCUCAUUCAACUGAAACAACAAUUAAUUGAAGAGGAAGACACACCAACCCCAGAGCCUAGGAGAUUUAUAAGCAAGGAAUUAACAGGGGCCUUUGCCAUGAUAGAGGAUGCCUUGGCAAGGUUUGAGGCUCAGGACCCCAACAUUGACAGGUAGACUACGGUUGCCAGAAGAGUAAUGGGUAGCCUGCGGUGUUAUAAGGAGAUUUGGGAGGACAAGAAGAAGGUAUCCUUCCAGACUAGCCUCCGACUUUAUUUUAAGAAGAUAGAGAGGCCUGCAACAGAUCCCAUACCUUCUACCUCAUAUGCCUCUCCAGACUCACCUGCCCCAGUAUCUCAUGCACCUUCUGUAGGUUCUGCCUCUCAGACCUUCUCCCCCAAGGAGCCUUGUGUAAGCCUGUCUUUCCUCCCUUUGCAACGUCCAGUGUGCAAGCCAACAACAAUAGUAAAGGUUCUGUGUCUGCUGCCUUGCAAUUCCAUGGACUUUGUGACUGCUUUGGCAAAUAAUGGAUGGCUGUGACUUCUAAAGUUAGAUAGGGAGGAUGCCUCCAUGCUCUCUGGAGUAUGUGCCCUUGGCCCUUGCCCACCAUGUGGUGAGGAAGCCCAAGUUGUCCAUCGAAUCCACACGAAGAGGACAUGAAAUCACUGGCUCACUCCCCUGGCUGCUCUUUCAUCUGCCAGCAGAAACAACUUGCCAACCAUGUAAGUGAGGCAACAUGAAAGCAAAUUCUCCAGCUGACAAUGAGCCAUCUCAGAUGCAGCAAAGAGCAAAGAUGGGCCAUCCUCACUGCAUUUCUGCCCAGGUUUCAGGAGAAAAAUAAAUGAUUGUUGUUGC